rnacentral:rRNA from 1 species
UACGUAGGGGGCGAGCGUUUUCCGGAUUUAUUGGGCGUAAAGAGCUCGUAGGCGGUUUGGUAAGUCGGGUGUGAAAUCUCCACGCUCAACGUGGAGGGGCCACUCGAUACUGCCAUGACUCGAGUCCGGUAGAGGAGUGUGGAAUUCCCGGUGUAGCGGUGAAAUGCGCAGAGAUCGGGAGGAACAUCAGUGGCGAAGGCGGCCAUCUGGGACAACACUGACGCUGAAGCACGAAAGCGUGGGGAGCAAACAGG